rnacentral:tRNA from 1 species
GAGGGUAUAGCUCAGUGGUAGAGUGUAUGCUUAGCAUGCACGAGGUCCUGGGUUCAAUCCCCAGUCCCUCCA